GCCUCCUUAGCUCAGUGGUAGAGCGCGUCACUUGUAAUGACGAGGUCAGUCGUUCAAUCCGGCUAGGUGGCA